rnacentral:lncRNA from 12 species
UCAAUACAAACUGUACUUCUCUUCUUAGAAGGCAAAAAUACCCACCACUGGUUUCAAUUUAAAACCUUUUUUAAAAAUAAGAUUUUAUUUAUUCAUGAGAGACAGAGAGAGACAGAGACAGAGACACAGGCAGAGGGAGAAGGAGGCCCAAUGUGGGACUCGAUCCGGCAACCCCGGGACCACGACCUGAGCCAAAGGCAGACACUCAACCUCUGAGCCACCCAGGCGUCCCUUAAAACACCUUUAAAAAAAAAAAAAAACAACUGAUGGUUUAUUGCUUCUAGGUCGGUAUGAAAUCAGGAAGGCGUUCUCAGAUAUGGGGAAGCGUGGCACGUGAGGAUAGUCGAUAGUCUCCCCUCUGCUGAAUCAAAUAACCAAUCUUGAGGGUAAUAAAAGAAAAUAAAAUCGGCUCCCUGGCUAUUCUCUAGCGGCACGUGCCUACCACAGAUGCAAAUUCAGGGAGGAUAAGAACGGUGGGCACACCGGGUGCCAUUCACGACCACCCCCCCGCCCCCCGCAACCUUCCUGUUUAACAAAGAAAACUCUUCCCAUUCUAGUGAUUUCCAGCAAAUGGAAGCCAGCAAAAAAGGCACUCAGCGAAGGUUGUGUGUGUGUGUGAGUGUGUGUGUGAGUGUGUGUGAGUGUGUGUGAGUGUGUGUGAGUGUGCAAUCACGACGGCUGCAAAGCUCAAUAGGAGACCUAAGGAUGCCAGACCUGGCCGGGAGGUGCAUCGCUCGGGAAAGGCACCAAGAGAUUGAGCAUCAGGUGGCAAAUCCCGUCGAUCAAACUCCAGCGCCUCGCUCAGCUCGGGAACCCGAGGAAACCCCUCUGCAACCAUCUCGACCAGAUCUGCAACCAGAUCGAGGUCAAUUCUCCUCCGGCGGCGGGAGAGUGGAGAGAAUUAACUGGAGUGACACGAAAUGGAAGCAGGAGGAUGAGGGAAUCAUGGAUCCCAAGACCCUACCACCGCCCUGGGUUAGGCGUCAGGAUCAAAUCUCAGUGAUUGACACUUCCCACCAAGUCACUGUGCUCCCCGAGGACAUCAUUUAAGCAAGAUUGCCCCUCCAGCCACCACGUACAUCAGCGGAAAAUACAUGAUACUAGAAUUUUUUUUUAAAUCUUUUUGUUCCUGGGGGAAUGUAAUAAAGUCAUAUAAUAAAGUAACGGAGUCUUUGAG